AACGGCAACAACGGAGCGCGGGGGGCCGGCAGCGAGGAAGAACGCAGCGAAAGGCGAGAAGGAAGGGGAAGGGCAGAAGGCAGGGAAGCAGCGAGGCGGGGAACGCACAGGGCGCCCCCGGGGAGGCCGGGGGGCAGGCCGGGCCGAGCGGCAGGGCGGCCCGCAAGCACGGCGGGGGGGGGGCCCCGGCCCCGCCCCCGGGGACGGGCCCGAAAGGCAGCGGCGGCACCGCGGCCGGGCCGCGAGCGGAGGGGGCGGGGGCACCCGCGCGGAGGCCCGGCCGGCGCCAGCCGACACCCAACGGGAGGGCGAAGGGGGACCGCGGAGCAGGGAGGGAGACCCGCGGAACGGAAGCAGAGCAAGAAGCGGAGGAAAAGAAACCAACAGGGAGGGCCGCAGGAACGGCGAGGGAAGCGGCAAGAGCGCAAAGGGGAAAGCGGCCCCCGCGGGGGCCGCGGGGGAAGGGGCAGAGGAGGCGGCGGGGGCAGCCCCCGGCGAAGGGCCCGGGAACGGGCCGGCAGAGAGGGGGAGAAGCCCGGCGGGGACGGGGGGGCGGCGGCCGGGGAAGCGCCGGCGACGAGGCGAGGGGGGGGAAGGCAGCGCGAAAGGGGGGGAAAGGGCAGCGAAAGCGAAAGACGGGCCGGAGACCGAGAGCGCACAAGGAGAGGGAGCGAAAGAGGAAAAGCACGGGAAAGAGAGGGAAACAGCACGGGAAAGGGGGAAAGGGAAGCGGGGGCGACCAGACGCGCCCGCGGGGGGCAGCCGGCAGGCGGGCCGGGGGACGGCCCCGGGGGCGGGCCAGCGGCGGGGGGGCGGCCGGGCAAAGGCCCGCGGAAGGGAGCACCGCGCGGGGGGCGGAGAGCCGAGGGGGCAAGGCGGCCGGCCCGGACCGAGGAACGCGCGGCGGCGCGGACGCGGGCGGAAGGGGCGGAAAGGACCCGGCGGGAAACACGGACCAAGGAGGCGAACAGCGACGCGAGGGGCGGGGGGCAAACCCGGACGCGCAGGGAAAGCGAACGGAGGGGGAGCCCCCGCGCGGGGCGCACCAGCGACCGAGCCGGAGGGCGGCGGAGGGAGGGAGGACGAGCGGAGCGGGGGGGACCCGAAAGAGGGGGAACGAGGCCGGAAGAGGGCGAAGCCAGAGGAAACGCGGGGGGAGGCGCGCAGCGGGGCGGACGGGCAAAGCGAGCGGCGAAGGGGGGGAGAGGGGCGAAAGACGAAGCGAACCAGCGAGGAGCGGGGGCCGGCCGAAGGGGCCCGCAGGAGAGCAGGAACGCGGAGCAGGGGAGGAGGGGAAAGCGAAGGAGGAGAGGCCGGGGGGGGAAACAACCGGAACCGAGGCGCAAACGGGAAAGAGGGAAGAAGCGCGGGGGCGGAGGGGAACGGGCGCAGGAGAAGGAAGCGGACGAGGGGGCCAGGGGGGGAAGCAGAACGGGCGAGGCGGGAGGAACCGAACGCGAGGGGAAGGGGCCGGAAGGCACGCGCAGCAGACACCACAAAAGGGGAGGGCAGCGAGACAGCCCGACGGGGGCCAGGGAAGGCGGAAGCCGCGAAGGAGGGGGAACAACGCACGGGCCGAAGGAACGAGCCCGGAAAAGGGAGGGCGCGCAAGCGGGCGACCCAGACCGCGCCGGCGGGGGAGAAACGAGGCCCCGACGAGGAGGCAGGCGGGGGGGCCGGGACGAAGCCGGGGGAGGGAGCCCGGGGCGAACGGCCCCGAGGGCAGAGCGGGGGGAGGAGCAAAGACGCAAAGGAGAACGGGGAGGACGGAAGGGGGGAAAGGGCCAGGGGAACAGCAGGGGACAGGGGGAGGCGAGCCGAAGGCAGAGGGAAGGGCCGGGGGAAAGGCGCCCGCGGGCGCCGGGGGCCGAAAGGGAAGCCGGGGAACAGGCCGGCACCGGGAGGGGGAGGCGCCACGGCAACGGAACGGAACGCGGAGACGGCGGCGGGGGGCCGGGAAGAGGGCGCGGGGCGGCGGGACAGCCGGCCACCCGGAAAGCGGGGGGCCGGAGCGAGGGGCGAGGGCGGGCAGAGCCCCGCACCGGGGCGGGGGCCGGGGCGCCCCCGACGACCCGGGAAAAGCCGCGGGAAGGAAGAGGGGCACGCCAGGGCGGACGCAGAACCGCAGCAGGGCGCCAAGGGGAACAGCCGCGAGGGGAGAGAACAAGGGAGAGAAGGGAAGGCGGCAAAAGGGAGCCGGAACGCGGGAGAAGGAGGGCGCGAAGGGGCGGGCCCGCGGGGCCGGGGGGGAAACCCCGCGGAGCAGGGGGGCACGAGCCGGGGCAACCGGCCGGCGCCCCCCAGCACGGGGGGGGGGACGCCCGGGGCAGGCGGCGGCCGGCCGGCGGGCGCGGAACGACCAACGGAGAACGGGACGGACAAGGGGAAGCGGACGGGCGAAGGAAAACAGAGCAGGGCGAGGGCCAGAAAGGGGGGGGACGCAAGGGGAGGGCGGCCCAGGGCGCGGAAGGGCAAAGGGAAGAAAGGCAACCAAGCGCGGGGAAACGGCGGGAGGAACGAGGACGCGCGGAAGGGAGCCAAAGGCCGCGGCAGCGAAGGAGGGACGCGCAGGAAGGGAGGAACGAGAGGCCCACGGCCCGAGCGACGAGCGAGCGAAACCACAGCCAAGGGAACGGGCGGGGCAGAAGCAGCGGGGAAAGAAGACCCGGGGGAGCGGGACGCGAGGGGACAGGGGAAAAGACAGAGGGGGGGGAGAAGAGGGGGGAGCGGCGGCGCCAGGGAAAGACCACGACCGGGAGCGGGGGGACGGAGGCAAGGAAGCGGAACGGGGCGGCACCGCCCAGCGGCGGGCGGGAAGGGCCGGCGCGGGCCGAGCCGGGGGGAAGACAGGGCAGGGGGGAGGGGGGCGGGGGCGGCACAGCGGGAAACCACAACGCAGGGGGCCGAAGGGGACGCAGGGAGAACAGAAAGCGCCAGGAGAACAAAAGGGGAAAAGGCCCCGGAGGGAGGGGCAGGGGGAAGACAAACCAGGAAAGGGGGCCGAGCGAGCCGGGAGGCCCGCGAAAGGGGAGGCGAGAGGGGCCAGAAAAGGACCACAGGGAGAACGGGCGGGGGGCAGCCAAGCGGGCAGAGCGACGGGGCGGGGGAGCCGGCGAGGGCGGCGCGGCCGAGCAGACCGAAGCAGAAGGCGGGAAGCGGGGGAGGGGCACCCACGAAGAGGGAACGGGAGCGGGGGGAGACCGGCGGGAGACAGGGAGGGGACCCGACGGAGGAAGGGCGCCGCAACGGGAAGGCAAGGGAGGACGAGAGGAACCGGGGAGGCAGAGAAGGGGGGGGCGGCGGGCGGACCAGGCAGGGCCGCGACGCGACCAGCGGCCGGAGAAGGGCGGAACGCCGCGAAGGCAGAAGCCGGGCCGGAACGCGG
rnacentral:rRNA from 1 species